rnacentral:miRNA from 1 species
UGGGCGGAGCGAAUCGAUGAU